rnacentral:rRNA from 1 species
GGGGUGCUAUACAUGCAAGUCGAGCGCGGGAAGCGAGUGGAUCCCUUCGGGGUGAAGCUCGUGGAACGAGCGGCGGACGGGUGAGUAACACGUGGGCAACCUGCCUGUAAGAUCGGAAUAACCCCGGGAAACCGGGGCUAAUGCCGGGUAAUACUUUUCUUCGCAUGAAGAUAAGUUGAAAGAUGGCUUCUCGCUAUCACUUACAGAUGGGCCCGCGGCGCAUUAGCUAGUUGGUGAGGUAACGGCUCACCAAGGCAACGAUGCGUAGCCGACCUGAGAGGGUGAUCGGCCACACUGGGACUGAGACACGGCCCAGACUCCUACGGGAGGCAGCAGUAGGGAAUCUUCCGCAAUGGACGAAAGUCUGACGGAGCAACGCCGCGUGAACGAUGAAGGUCUUCGGAUCGUAAAGUUCUGUUGUCAGGGAAGAACAAGUACCGUGCGAAUAGAGCGGUACCUUGACGGUACCUGACGAGGAAGCCCCGGCUAACUACGUGCCAGCAGCCGCGGUAAUACGUAGGGGGCAAGCGUUGUCCGGAAUUAUUGGGCGUAAAGCGCGCGCAGGCGGUUCCUUAAGUCUGAUGUGAAAGCCCACGGCUCAACCGUGGAGGGUCAUUGGAAACUGGGGAACUUGAGGACAGAAGAGGAGAGUGGAAUUCCACGUGUAGCGGUGAAAUGCGUAGAUAUGUGGAGGAACACCAGUGGCGAAGGCGACUCUCUGGUCUGUUUCUGACGCUGAGGUGCGAAAGCGUGGGUAGCAAACAGGAUUAGAUACCCUGGUAGUCCACGCCGUAAACGAU